AUGUCCACCUGCCUCAUUGACAUGAUUAAUGCCAAUGAUUUAGAUUUUAUUGGACUUCAGGAGACUAUGAAGAAGUCUUAUAAUCCUGCCUUUUUUAGACAAAUUGAUCCGAACCAAAAGUUUCAUUGGGAGUGGAUUCCUUCUAGGGGGAAAUCUGGUGGCAUUCUUUGUGGUCUAAAUAAGGAAAAAUUUGAUAUCCUUAUGACCAAGUGUGGUAAAUACAUCCUACAGUUGAACUUGUUCGAUAAGAACAAAAACUCUAGCUGGGCCUUGAUGACUGUAUAUGGUGCUGCACAUGAUGAGUAGAAACCCGAGUUCAUUGCUGAACUGUCAUCCAUGUGUCAUAACAUUAAUAUCCCUUAUCUGGUCGGGGGAGACUUUAACAUCAUUCGACAUAGCGGGGAGAAAAACAAAAAAACAUCUAUGUCCCACUUCUCGGAGGUGUUUAAUUCUGUUAUUCAUUUGCUUGGGUUGAGAGAGAUCUAUAUGACUGGUGGUUGCUAUACCUGGUCCAAUAAACAAGAUAACCCAACUUUGGAAAAAUUGGAUAGAGUUCUCAUGUCCCCUGAUUGGGAGGAUUUAUACCCUCUCGUUUCUGUGCAUAAACUGGUCAAGGAGAUAUCAGAUCACAAUCCCUUGUUGGUG
rnacentral:rRNA from 1 species